GAUGAACGCUGGCGGCGUGCCUAAUACAUGCAAGUCGAGCGAACAGACGAGGAGCUUGCUCCUCUGACGUUAGCGGCGGACGGGUGAGUAACACGUGGAUAACCUACCUAUAAGACUGGGAUAACUUCGGGAAACCGGAGCUAAUACCGGAUAAUAUAUUGAACCGCAUGGUUCAAUAGUGAAAGACGGUUUUGCUGUCACUUAUAGAUGGAUCCGCGCCGCAUUAGCUAGUUGGUAAGGUAACGGCUUACCAAGGCAACGAUGCGUAGCCGACCUGAGAGGGUGAUCGGCGACACUGGAACUGAGACACGGACCAGACUCCUACGGGAGGCAGCAGUAGGGAAUAUUCCGCAAUGGGCGAAAGCCUGACGGAGCAACGCCGCGUGAGUGAUGAAGGUCUUCGGAUCGUAAAACUCUGUUAUUAGGGAAGAACAAAUGUGUAAGUAACUAUGCACGUCUUGACGGUACCUAAUCAGAAAGCCACGGCUAACUACGUG
rnacentral:rRNA from 1 species